CCUACGGGGCGCACCAGUGGGGAAUAUUGCACAAUGGGCGCAAGCCUGAUGCAGCCAUGCCGCGUGUAUGAGGAAGGCCUCCGGGUUGUAAAGCUCUUUCACCGGUGAAGAUAAUGACGGUAACCGGAGAAGAAGCCCCGGCUAACUUCGUGCCAGCAGCCGCGGUAAUACGAAGGGGGCUAGCGUUGUUCGGAAUUACUGGGCGUAAAGCGCGCGUAGGCGGAUAGAUAAGUCAGAGGUGAAAUCCCGGGGCUCAACCCCGGAAUUGCCUUUGAUAGUGUUUAUCUUGAGUGCAGAAGAGGUAAGUGGAAUUCCGAGUGUAGAGGUGAAAUUCGUAGAUAUUCGGAGGAACACCAGUGGCGAAGGCGGCUUACUGGUCUGCAACUGACGCUGAGGCGCGAAAGCGUGGGGAGCAAACAGGAUUAGAUACCCUCGUAGUC
rnacentral:rRNA from 1 species